CAGGCUUCUGUCUCACUGCUAAGUGUCUCAUGCUGGUAAAACUUUAACAUUUUCGUUAGUUUGAGUGUGGUUACUGUUUGGGUUGGAAGCUCUCUAGCACUUGAGGUACAACUAUGGUAUGUAGCAGAAAGGAAACAAAAGAAAAAAUGCAAACACAGUAGAGAUAAUCACUAAAGAAGAGAUUCAGAUACCAGUAUGAGAUUUGUAAAUCCAUAACAUGGAACCACUCAUAUAGACGUAAUUGAGGGAAUAAGAGAAGAGAUUGGAAACAAGAUAAAUAUGGGCUGGCAUGCAAAGGAAAGAAGAAUGUUAAGAAGAGAUAUCUAAAGAAGCAAGGCAUAGAAAUAACCAACCAUGUCCAUGCAACUGCAUCAUGGAGCACAUUUUCUAAUAAUACUUUGUUCUUUGGUAGCACAGAGCCCUAAUUCAUGAGCAUUUAUUUGUAUCAGAAGCUUUACAAUAAUCAGGCCAGUUUAGAAUAUGCAGAGUGCUUGUAUUUAAGUAAAAUGUACUGGUAUAAAAUAUUUCUAUCUUGAUGAAACACAUCUUGCCACUUUUUGGUAGGUAGUGGUACGUGUUUAUACUGUUUUGAGAUGGGAUAGUCAGACAGGUAAACAAUGCAGUAGGAAAAUGGUUCAAGAGCCUCAUUUAACACACAAUCUGUAUCAUCACUCAAUUUUGAUCAAUGUAAAGGCAAUAUUAGUUCAGAACUGCAAACAAAUGUUUUUGUUGGUGAAUUCAUACAAAGCACUCUGAAAAUUUUUUUCAUUUUUUAAGCAUCUUUUCCCAAAUUAUGUCUGAAAUUACAAGCUUAAAUAGCAGACGAUUUGUGCACAAAACACCAGCUGGCUUGGAGACAUUUGUAAAUCCUUACAUUGGUUGGUUGGUUGGUUGUUUUGGGGAAGGAGACCAGACAGCGUGGUCAUCGGUCUCAUCGAAUUAGGGAAGGAAGUCGGCCGUGCCCUUUCAGAGGAACCAUCCCGGCAUUUGCCUGGAGUGAUUUAGGAAAAUCACGGAAAACCUAAAUCAGGAUGGCCGGACGCGGGAAAACCCUUACAUUCCAUGCUGUACAAAAAACUAAUUAAUUUAACUAUGAAAAUUUUGCAACUUCUACAUUUAAUACAUUAACUAAUUACAAAUACUACCUUGCUCUCUGGAAGCACUUUUUCCUUCUCUUUGGAUCCCUUAUGUAGCUGACGGAAUU